GCCUCCUUCAAAGAGAUUAUAUCAACACUCCCAAGAAGAAAAAGUUGGAAUGACUCAAAUAACGACUUUUUUUUGUAUCGAGGCUUCUGGUGUUACUCGUUUUUCAUUGAAGGAGUGAUGUCGGCUCAACAAAAUUUCCAAUCUCAACCUUCCGAUAUCGUCAUAUGCAGUGCACCGAAAACUGGAACAACAUGGUUAAAGUCCCUCACUUUUGCCAUUGUCACAAGAAUCACCUUCGAUGAUUCCACUAACCCUUUACUUGCCAAUCUAUCACAUGAUUGUGUACCACUUUUAGAGGUUGAUUUAGCCCAAUCUUCCAUCAAUCGAGACCCUAAAAAUCCUUUGUUAGCCACACAUGUCCCUUACUCAUCUUUACCAAGAUCAAUAAUUGAUUCCAGUUGUAAAAUUGUUUACAUUUGUAGGGACCCUAAGGAUUCAUUCGUUUCGUUUUAUCACUUCAUUGCUAGGCGCUUGGCAUCCAAAGACAUAAAGCCCCUUGCUUUAGAAGAGGCCUUUGAGCUUUAUUGCCAAGGUGUAAGCAAUUAUGGACCUUAUUGGGACCAUGUUCUAGGGUUUUGGAAAGCAAGUUUGGACCGACCUGAUAAGAUUCUUUUCUUGAAAUACGAAGAAAUGAUAGAAGAUACUGUUUUAUACGUUAAGAAAUUAGCUGAUUUCAUCGGUUACCCUUUCUCUUCUGAAGAAAUCAAAAAAGGGUCAGUCGACAAGAUCAUAAGCAUGUGUAGCUUCGAGAACUUAAGCAAUUUGGAAGUGAAUAAAAGUGGCAAACACCGUGAAGGAACUCCAGGGGUGAUUGAAAACAAGAUCUAUUUCCGAAAAGGUAAGGUUGGGGAUUGGGAGAAUUAUUUGACACCUGAAAUGGCUUCUCGGUUGGACUCGCUAACGUUACAGAAGCUAAAUGGUUCAGGCUUAACUCUGUGAUUGAAUCAUAAAGCAGCCAUGGGGUACAUUGUCCCUUCUUUGCAAUUUCUGCAUAUUAUGUUUCUAAAAAUAAUUUGUGUAUGCUUUUUGCAAGUAGCAACACUUCUCGUGUUGUUCAUGUUAACAUCAAUAAAAAGCAUAGUUGAUUCAAUAUGUGAAAUGUGAUUAAAAACAACAUGUAAAACACAAUGCGAAUUGGUUUAUAUGAGUCCGGAGGACCGAUAUAAAUUUUUUUAAAAAAUCAAUAGAUUCGAUAUAUAAAUGAUAUGAUUAAAUGAUAUGAAUUGAAAUGAAAAUGAUUGUAUUUUUUUAUAGUGGAAAAAGUAGCAUGGCAUGUUAUAAUGAUUUGUCGAUUUUCAUAAUGUAUGAAUCGAGAUAUAUGACAUGAAGAGAUGAAAUUCAAACGUUUGAAUCUUGAAUAUGUUUUCAUUACAUUUUUGUCGAAUUAAUGUUUAUGUUGGUAUGACUUGAUCAUAAAGGUACUGAUGAUCUUUAUUGUUCAAUGCACACUUUGUUUAUUCCAUGUGAGGUAUUAGUUAAUUUCGAAGACUCGAGGAGUGAUCCAACAUCCGAUCUGCAACUCUCGACUCAACAAUGUUUGUAUAGUUCCUUUACGUUUUGAUAUAUGACAUGUACUUAAGUUUUGAGUUAGUUUUGUAUCUUGGAUGGUCAUUUGGAAAAUUGGAUGGUUGAUGUGAAUUUGAGUUUAUGAAUAUGAAAUGUUUAAGUUAUCAUGAACAUUAUGUGAUGUUUAAAUGGUUAAGUGGUGUAAAUGGUCAUAUAUAUUAAGUUAGGUUUGAGUUAUGAAUGGUUAAAUUGAUAAACAUGAAUGAUAAUGACAUAGCAAAGGUAGUAUAUGAAGUGUUUGAUGUAGGUAUUAUGCUUGAAUGGAUUGGUUUCGCAUUGGUUAUUUUGGUUAGGUUUGUAUGGAUUAGUACCAAAUAAACAUUUCAAAACAGUAUGUCACGUUGUAACGAGAAAUCAAUAGUGAAUGAUGUCGCGACUUGGAAUCUCCCAAGUCGUGACGUCAACUCGAUAGUUUUAACAUUUUAUAUUUUAGUCCUUAAACGACCUUAGGUUAUCGAAAGAGCUGUCGUAUGCUCGUAUAAACCUUGGAUAUGUUUGUAUAAUAAGAUAUAAUGAUGUAUUGAUCAUAAUUACAUGUAUAAACUGUUGAAUUGAUAAAAUUUAGAUCGUAGUUGUUCUAACAACAAAUGUGAUAUCCCAUAGCUUGGACCUGUGAUCAAGUUGGGUAUGGGGUGUUACUAGAAAGGUGGGUUUGGAGAAGAAGAAUAGCACUUUGUAUUAUAAAUUUAAAAACAAAAACUCAAUCAGUAUAGUAAAUGGAGUUAGAGAAGAAAUAAUGGGUUUAGAAAAGAAGUAGAGUACUUUGUAUUAUAAAUUACAAGAAAAAAAUCUAAAAUUUCAAAAAAUUGAAACUUACCAAAGAAUCCAAAUAAAUAUAAUAUAAUACAACAUUUUGCUCUUCUCUCUUGCUCGAUAGGCCGUUGGUGGUAGAAGUUUUUAUGAUUCUCAAGAAUGAAAGCACUGUUACCCAAGCCCUGAUUUUGUUUCCUGGAAAUUCGAGCAGCAACAAUCGGUCUAAUAAUUAUAAUUAGUUAGACUUUUCUAGAUAAUAAAAUACUAUUACAUACCAAUUUUAUAAACUACUAACAAUAUAUAUUUGACAGUUAAAAGUUUUUUUUACAUAAAAUGAAUAUUUAGAAAAAUUUAAUUACGUCAACGUUAACAUACAUGAUCUAUAUGAAUGGAGUAUGAAAUAUGACGGUGGGAUUGUUAAAAUAUUAAUUGUAUAAAAAGUUACUAAAUUAUGCAAAACCACUUUAAUUUUACACCGUGUAAGUGAAUCUCUCCUCUUAUUUUAUUUUUUAAGUAUUAUAUUAGUAAUUUUUAUCUUACAUAUUUUAUUUAUGUUUUCUGGGUACAUGUUUUAUCUUAAGAUUUGUAUAAUUCUUUACACAAUAAUAAUUCAUUUUACAUAGUUAUAAAAAAUCAUUAAUUUUACAUAAAUUUUGAUAUAUUAUUAUAUUUUGAAUUUAUGUUUAUUUCUAUGUGACAUGAUAAUUUUAAUUAUUGAAAUUUUUUAUCUUCGAAUAAUUUUGUCAAAUAAUUUAAUAAUUAAAUAAUUAUAUAUAGUGUACAAAUCAUAUUAAAAAAUUAAUCUAACUUUACGAAGCAUAAUGAGCAGGUAUAUUCUAGUGAUAUAUUAAAUAUAUUAUAUAAUUUACAUAUUUUUUUUACCUUCAAAAAGUCAAAUUCUUGAUCAUUUUAGUCUUUUUUUUUUAUCAUUUUAGUUUUGAACCAUCAAAUUUCAAUUUUUUUUGACGUAAAAGUAGAACUACAAUUAAAAUUUUAACGUGAUUAAUGUGGUAGCCUGUAUAGUAGUGCAUGUAUACUUUAUUGUUAACAUGGAUGAUUAUUUUCAAAACUUUUAUGAACUUUUUGAAUUUUUAUUUUUAUUUAAUUUAUGAAGUAAGCGUGAAUUUUCAUGUGUGUCACCACGUUACUCCCGUUAAAAUUUUAAUAGUCCAAUUAUUUUUUCAGUUCAAAGAAAAACAAUUUAACAAAAAUUUGAAAAUUUAAAACAAACCGAUCCAAAAAAGUAUUAAGACAAAUGCAUUUAAGAGAAGAGAAAUUAUUUCGUACAUUGUCGAUAAAGCUUUUAUACUUCACAAGCAGAAUCAGAAGUUAAUAAGUAUCUUAUAGAGAUAUUAUAAAAUAUUAAUUUUUUAAAAUUACUUAUGAAAUAAAAAAAAUACACUUCACCCAAAUUAGUGUAAGAAAAAUAAUACAAAACUUGAUUCCAAAUCUUUUAAAAUAAUACAAAAAAAUCUAUCAACUAGAUUGUUUAGCGACAAAAUCAUGCAUGGGACAGACCUUGACAAUGGCUAAAUAAGCACUAGCUACAUUAUUUAUUUAUUUAGUCCCUAUAAUUCUGUUCCAAUUCAAGAAAUUUCGUGGUGGAUAUAAUAAAAAAAUUGUUGUUAAAAGCAAAUAAUUUUCGUCACUAAGUUCACAUGGUUCAAUUACAAAAAAAAUUAGUGUAAUUGUGAAAGAAAUUACCUUUUCUCUAAAGCUAUUUAUAGACCCAAUUUUUGUCAAAAUAUUUGCACUCAUUUCCCCUUUCUUUUUCCUUUAUGAAAAUGGCCUCCUUGAAAGAGAUUAUAUCAACACUCCCAAGAAGAAAAGGCUGGAAUGACUCAGAUAACGACCUUUUUUUGUAUCGAAGCUUCUAUUAUUACUCGUUUUUCAUUGAAGGAGUGAUGUCGGCUCAACAAAAUUUCCAAUCUCAACCUUCCGAUAUCAUCAUAUGCAGUGCAUCGAAAACUAGAACAACAUGGUUAAAGUCCCUCACUUUCGCCAUUGUCACAAGAACCACCUUCGAUGAUUCCACUAACCCUUUACUUACCAAUCUAUCACAUGAUUGUGUACCCCUUUUAGAGGUUGAUUUAGCCCAAUCUUCCACCAAUCGAGACCCUAAAAAUCCUUUGUUAGCCACACAUGUCCCUUACUCUUCUUAAUUACCAAGAUCAAUAAUUGAUUCCAGUGGUAAAAUUGUUUACAUUUGUAGGGACCCUAAGGAUUCAUUCGUUUCGCUUUAUCACUUCAUUGCUAGGUGAUUGGCAUCCAAAGACAUGAAGCCCCUUGCUUUAGAGGAGGCCUUUGAGCUUUAUUGCGGAGGUGUAAGCUUUGGGACCAUGUUCUAUGGUUUUGGAAAGCAAGUUUGGACCGAC
rnacentral:lncRNA from 1 species